rnacentral:rRNA from 1 species
UACAGAGGGGGCUAGCGUUAUUCGGAAUUAUUGGGCGUAAAGGGCGCGUAGGCGGCCACGCGUGUCUUUCGUGAAAUCCUUCGGCUUAACUGAGGACGUGCGGAAGAAACUGCGAGGCUUGAGUCCGGGAGAGGGGGGUGGAAUUCCCAGUGUAGCGGUGAAAUGCGUAGAUAUUGGGAGGAACACCGGUGGCGAAGGCGGCCCCCUGGACCGGUACUGACGCUGAGGCGCGAAAGCGUGGGUAGCAAACGGG